GUGUACCGGUACACGGGUUUGUGUACCGGUACACCACCUACGAAAAGCCAAACCCGAGCCUCGGGUUUGCUGGGAAAUAGUCUGUGUACCGGUACACGAGCCCGUACCGGUACAGCCAUCAACCCCGUACCGGUACAGCAAGCGAACCCGUACCGGUACACAGCCUGCUGAAGGCUACCCGAGAGCUGACCAAAAAUCCAACUUUUUGGAUUUUGGUGCUCAGCUU
rnacentral:lncRNA from 1 species